ACCGCUCUCCGGUGGCCGAGUGGUUAGAGCGCCAGCCUCGUAUGCAGGAGGUUGCGGGUUCGAAACCUGUGCGUGGCA